GGCCUAACACAUGCAAGUCGAACGGGCGUAGCAAUACGUCAGUGGCAGACGGGUGAGUAACACGUGGGAACGUACCUUUUGGUUCGGAACAACACAGGGAAACUUGUGCUAAUACCGGAUAAGCCCUUACGGGGAAAGAUUUAUCGCCAAAAGAUCGGCCCGCGUCUGAUUAGCUAGUUGGUAGGGUAACGGCCUACCAAGGCGACGAUCAGUAGCUGGUCUGAGAGGAUGAUCAGCCACAUUGGGACUGAGACACGGCCCAAACUCCUACGGGAGGCAGCAGUGGGGAAUAUUGGACAAUGGGCGAAAGCCUGAUCCAGCAAUGCCGCGUGAGUGAUGAAGGCCUUAGGGUUGUAAAGCUCUUUUACCCGGGAUGAUAAUGACAGUACCGGGAGAAUAAGCUCCGGCUAACUCCGUGCCAGCAGCCGCGGUAAUACGGAGGGAGCUAGC
rnacentral:rRNA from 1 species